rnacentral:rRNA from 1 species
UACGUAGGGACCAAGCGUUGUUCGGAUUUACUGGGCGUAAAGGGCGCGUAGGCGGCAAUUCAAGUCACUUGUGAAAUCUCUGAGCUUAACUCAGAACGGUCAAGUGAUACUGCUUUGCUAGAGUGCAGAAGGGGCAACCGGAAUUCUUGGUGUAGCGGUGAAAUGCGUAGAUAUCGAGAGGAACACCGGUGGCGAAGGCGGCCUUCUGGACAGUGACUGACGCUGAGACGCGAAAGCGUGGGGAGCAAACAGG